UUCGUCACACUAUCAUUAACUGAAUCCAUAGGUUAAUGAGGCGAACCGGGGGAACUGAAACAUCUAAGUACCCCGAGGAAAAGAAAUCAACCGAGAUUCCCCCAGUAGCGGCGAGCGAACGGGGAGCAGCCCAGAGCCUGAAUCAGUGUGUGUGUUAGUGGAAGCGUCUGGAAAGGCGCGCGAUACAGGGUGACAGCCCCGUACACAAAAAUGCACAUGCUGUGAGCUCGAUGAGUAGGGCGGGACACGUGGUAUCCUGUCUGAAUAUGGGGGGACCAUCCUCCAAGGCUAAAUACUCCUGACUGACCGAUAGUGAACCAGUACCGUGAGGGAAAGGCGAAAAGAACCCCGGCGAGGGGAGUGAAAAAGAACCUGAAACCGUGUACGUACAAGCAGUGGGAGCACGCUUAGGCGUGUGACUGCGUACCUUUUGUAUAAUGGGUCAGCGACUUAUAUUCUGUAGCAAGGUUAACCGAAUAGGGGAGCCGAAGGGAAACCGAGUCUUAACUGGGCGUUAAGUUGCAGGGUAUAGACCCGAAACCCGGUGAUCUAGCCAUGGGCAGGUUGAAGGUUGGGUAACACUAACUGGAGGACCGAACCGACUAAUGUUGAAAAAUUAGCGGAUGACUUGUGGCUGGGGGUGAAAGGCCAAUCAAACCGGGAGAUAGCUGGUUCUCCCCGAAAGCUAUUUAGGUAGCGCCUCGUGAAUUCAUCUCCGGGGGUAGAGCACUGUUUCGGCAAGGGGGUCAUCCCGACUUACCAACCCGAUGCAAACUG
rnacentral:rRNA from 1 species